rnacentral:rRNA from 1 species
GUAUGGUGCAAGCGUUAUCCGGAUUUACUGGGUGUAAAGGGAGCGCAGGCGGUCUGGCAAGUCUGAUGUGAAAAUCCGGGGCUCAACUCCGGAACUGCAUUGGAAACUGUCAGACUAGAGUGUCGGAGAGGUAAGUGGAAUUCCUAGUGUAGCGGUGAAAUGCGUAGAUAUUAGGAAGAACACCAGUGGCGAAGGCGGCUUACUGGACAGUAACUGACGUUGAGGCUCGAAAGCGUGGGGAGCAAACAGGAUUAGAUACCCUGGUAGUCCACGCUGUAAACGAUGAAUACUAGGUGUCGGGGCACAUAAGUGCUUCGGUGCCGCAGCAAACGCAAUAAGUAUUCCACCUGGGGAGU